rnacentral:rRNA from 1 species
UACGUAGGGGGCAAGCGUUGUCCGGAUUUAUUGGGCGUAAAGAGCGUGUAGGCGGCUUGGUAGGUCCGCUGUGAAAACUCGAGGCUCAACCUCGAGAUGUCGGCGGAAACCACUUGGCUAGAGUCCGGAAGAGGAGAGUGGAAUUCCUGGUGUAGCGGUGAAAUGCGUAGAUAUCGGGAGGAACACCUGUGGCGAAAGCGGCUCACUGGACAGUAACUGACGCUGAUGCACGAAAGCUAGGGGAGCAAACAGG